rnacentral:rRNA from 1 species
CUCGUAGGCGGCCAACUAAGUCAGACGUGAAAUCCCUCGGCUUAACCGGGGAACUGCGUCUGAUACUGGAUGGCUCGAGUUUGGGAGAGGGAUGCGGAAUUCCAGGUGUAGCGGUGAAAUGCGUAGAUAUCUGGGGGAACACCGGUGGCGAAGGCGGCAUCCUGGACCAACACUGACGCUGAGGAGCGAAAGCCAGGGGAGCAAACG